CCAGACUCCUACGGGAGGCAGCAGUGAGGAAUAUUGGUCAAUGGGCGAGAGCCUGAACCAGCCAAGUCGCGUGAGGGAAUAAGGCCCUAUGGGUCGUAAACCUCUUUUGUCAGGGAGCAAAGGCGUCCACGAGUGGACGAAAGGAGAGUACCUGAAGAAAAAGCAUCGGCUAACUCCGUGCCAGCAGCCGCGGUAAUACGGAGGAUGCGAGCGUUAUCCGGAUUUAUUGGGGUUAAAGGGUGCGUAGGCGGAAUGCCAAGUCAGCGGUCAAAUUGCGGGGCUCAACCCCGUACUGCCGUUGAAACUGCAUCCCUUGAGUGCGCGAGAAGUAUGCGGAAUGCGUGGUGUAGCGGUGAAAUGCAUAGAUAUCACGCAGAACUCCGAUUGCGAAGGCAGCAUACCGGCGCGCAACUGACGCUCAUGCACGAAAGCGUGGGUAUCGAACAGGAUUAGAUACCCCAGUACU
rnacentral:rRNA from 1 species